AUUGACCGCUGGCGGCCGGCCUAACACAUGCAAGUCGAGCGAGUGGCGGACGGGUGAGUCAUGUCUGGGAAACUGCCUGAUGGAGGGGGAUAACUACUGGAAACGGUAGCUAAUACCGCCUACCAUCGGAUGUGCCCAGAUGGGAUUGGCUAGUCGGUGGGGUAAAGGUUCACCUAGGCGAAGUUCCCUAGCUGGUCUGAGAGGAUGACCAGCCCCACUGGAAAGUAGACACGGUCCAGACUCCUACGGGAGGGAGCAGGGGGGAAUAUUGCACAAUGGUCGCAAGCCUGAUGCAUCCAUGCCGGGUGUAUGAAGAAGGCCUUCGGGUUGUAAAGUACUUUCAGCGGGGAGGCGUUACCCGCAGAAGAAGCACCGGCUAACUCCGUGCCAGCAGCCGCGGUAAUUC
rnacentral:rRNA from 1 species